UACGUAGGGGGCAAGCGUUGUCCGGAAUUAUUGGGCGUAAAGAGCGUGUAGGCGGCCAGAUAAGUCCGCUGUGAAAUCUCGAGGCUCAACUUCGAGCUGUCGGUGGAAACUAUCUGGCUAGAGUCCGGAAGAGGAGAAUGGAAUUCCUGGUGUAGCGGUGAAAUGCGCAGAUAUCAGGAAGAACACCCGUGGCGAAGGCGGUUCUCUGGGACGGUACCGACGCUGAGACGCGAAAGCGUGGGGAGCGAACAGG
rnacentral:rRNA from 1 species